AACGAACGCUGGCGGCAUGCCUAACACAUGCAAGUCGAACGAGACCUUCGGGUCUAGUGGCGCACGGGUGCGUAACGCGUGGGAACCUGCCUUUAGGUUCGGAAUAACUCAGAGAAAUUUGAGCUAAUACCGGAUGAUGUCUUCGGACCAAAGAUUUAUCGCCUUUAGAUGGGCCCGCGUUGGAUUAGCUAGUUGGUGGGGUAAAGGCCUACCAAGGCGACGAUCCAUAGCUGGUCUGAGAGGAUGAUCAGCCACACUGGGACUGAGACACGGCCCAGACUCCUACGGGAGGCAGCAGUGGGGAAUAUUGGACAAUGGGCGAAAGCCUGAUCCAGCAAUGCCGCGUGAGUGAUGAAGGCCUUAGGGUUGUAAAGCUCUUUUACCCGAGAUGAUAAUGACAGUAUCGGGAGAAGAAGCUCCGGCUAACUCCGU
rnacentral:rRNA from 1 species